UCCUUACCUAUCUAUCAGACCUAAACACUGGUCUGAGUGGUUAUAACAGAAAAGUAAAACGUGAAACUGACUUAAAUUCUUUUGUGUCACACAAGCUAGUGUCAAACAAAC
rnacentral:snoRNA from 1 species